GACGGGGGGGGGCAAGUGUUCUUCGGAAUGACUGGGCGUAAAGGGCCCGUAGGCGGUGAAUCGGGUUGAAAGUGAAAGUCGCCAAAAAGUGGCGGAAUGCUCUCGAAACCAAUUCACUUGAGUGAGACAGAGGAGAGUGGAAUUUCGUGUGUAGGGGUGAAAUCCGUAGAUCUACGAAGGAACGCCAAAAGCGAAGGCAGCUCUCUGGGUCCCUACCGACGCUGGGGUGCGAAAGCAUGGGGAGCGAACAGG
rnacentral:rRNA from 1 species